CAGAAAGCUCUUCACAUCAGAAAGUGAAAGCGUCGUAAGCAGCUGUGUAAAGCAAUGGUAUACGCAUGGGCUGUUUGGGUGGAGAAUGGGAAGCAGAUGGAAGGAGUUUUGCCAUUGAACUGGAUCGACACAGAGACCAAAGUGUUGCGAUGAACUCUAAAAAACGUGUCUGUGGCACAUAAGCGCCUUUUACAACCACAAGAGGACUGGUUAAGCUUUGAAUUUGUUAAAGUCAAAGUGAAAUCAGUAAGCCGACAGGAGUGUGAAAAAUAUAAUUACACCUCAGCUCAAACCGAAGAGGAGGACACAGUCAGUCAAAAGAGAAUGAAGAAAAGAAGGAAAUUUGAAGAUUAAGUUCAAGGUAAUUUAUUUGGUCUUAUUUAAGGACAUGCAUUAAACAAUGAGCGAAUAAUGUAAACAAUCACAUAUCAUAAGUGACAAAUAUAAUAUUGGCAGGGUCAGAUUUGUCUCCUGAGGAGGAUGAGUCCUUGCCAGACAAGAAAAAGGGACAAAAUGCAAUGCUGCUCGAGUUACCUGCACCCCCAGAACUGGCUAACACCGCCAUUAGACAACCAGAGAGUCCUGCAUCUUCAGACAUUUCUGGAUGUUCUCGUCCAACGCCUCACCAUUCACCCACAAGGUCUGAAUCAACAGAAGCAUUUAGUCCAGAGUCAGCC
ensembl:lncRNA